rnacentral:lncRNA from 1 species
GCAAGCUCCACAGUCAUAACUGCCAUAUGUAUUCCGGGACAACCCCUUCUACCGGCACCAAAAGGUAUGAGCUCAAAGUCUAGUCCUUUAUAGUCAAUAGAGCUGCCAAUGAAUCUCUCCGGAUAGAACUCUUCUGGGUUUUCCCAAGCUUCAGGGUCUCUUCCAAUUGCCCAUGCAUUCACAUGAACUAAAGUUUUGGAAGGUAUUUCAUACUCACCAAUAUUGCACUUCCGCUUUGUUUCUCGUGGCAAUAACAAUGGAGUUACUGGUUGCAAUCUGAAUGUCUCUUUUAUCACUGCUUUAAGAUAAAUUAAGCCUUGAACAUCAUCUUCAUUAACAAAACUUGUUUUUCCUGUCAAGCUUCUGAUUUCCUCUUGAACUUUCUUCAAGCAUCUAGGAUUUCUUAUUAGGAAUGUCAUGACCCAAAUCACAGUGGCAGCACUAGUAUCUGUUCCCGCGAUAAACACAUUCUGCAUAAAAGAAAAAAAAAAGACAUGAAGAAAUUAUAUAUAUAUAUAUAUAUAUAUAUAUAUAUAUAUAUAUAUAUUAAAGGUGCUGAAGCUAUAAGAUUAAUAAUGAUAAUGCUUAAUAUUAUAGUUAAAGUAAAUUUUUGAGAGAGAAUGACCAUUAGCACAGCUUUUAUGUGGUCCAUAGUAAGAUCAAUUCCAAAGUCACGAUCUUUCGAAAUUUGUAGUAAAACAUCAAUUAUGUCAUUUUGCUCGAGUUUUGAUUUAUUUGGAUCAAGAUGCUCAUCAAUGAGUUCUUGAUAGAAGAUGUCAAAUUCUUUAAAUUUUUUUUCAAGUCGAUCGAGUAAUCCAGAGAAUCUAUCUACCAAACUCAUGAAAGGAAAAUAGUCAGAAAAAAAGUAGGUCGCGAUCAUGGCUUGGCUUUCAUUAAGUAGCCCAUGAAAUCUGCUUCUUUUAGUUCCUUCUUCUUCAAACCUCUUGCCAAAUCCUACUCUGCAAAUUAUUGCAGAGGUAAGACAUAUCAUUGCCUCACUCAAAUUGACAAGCUUAGAAUCAAUAGAUAAUUUGGAUAUUUUUGUAAUCAGACGAGCAACUUCAUCUUCUUGGAUAGGACGAUAAAGUUGUACCCUGUUGGAGUUUAAGAGAUGAACAACACAUAUUUUCCUGAUCUCCCUCCAAUAACCAUUAUACGGCGUAAAAGCGAAAUCUAAGUUAUUAUAAGAUAAUUUUUGCGUCCCACGUAAAGUAGGCCUACUGCAGAAGUCGAGGUCAUGGGUUUUCAUAACCUCUUUAGCCAUUUUUGCUGAAGAAACAACCAGGGUUGGCCUAAAUCCAAGUCGUAGGGACAUGAGAGGACCAUACUUUUGAGAGAGUUUCCAAAGAAAAAUAUGAUGGGCUGAGUUAUCAAGCAUCUGCAGGUGUAAAUGACCGAUCAAGGGAAGACCUGGCGGGCCAGGGGGAAGAAGAAUAUUGCCAUCGUUUCUAUGUUUUAGGAGAAAGAAUAGGAAGAGGCUGGGGACGGCUAGGACAAAGAACAACAACACUACCAUUGUGAUCUACUCAAUCGAUGAAGCAACUUGUGAAAAUUGAGUGCAAGAGUCCCUUUAUAUAGCCUAAUUAACCGACUGAGAAAAAAAAAUUAGCCGACACUUCUAAUAAAAAAUUUUUAAUAGUAAUUAAUAAUGAGAUUCAUGGAUGACAUUAUCCUGCCGAUGUACCUAAGUACUGCUCAGAACGCUAUUCUUGCGUAGUUGAAUUGCUCCUUUUUUUGGUGCUUAGCUAAUUAUAGGAAGGGAUAUAAAUAUUCGAAAAUUGUUUCUUUUUUAUGGGAUUUGGUGUACUAAAGUCCUGUAUGAACAAUAGGAUUAGCAGCACUCUCACUAGUUGAAAAAGAUAUCUUAUCUCAAGUUACUCGACUUAGAAAUAAAUAAAAAAUUCAGAGCUUUCUUAUAAUGUAUAAUCCAAUCGAAUUUCCUCACUCUUGCCAAUCAGCGGGCUUAUGCUUAAUUCUCACGUCUCUGGUAAAUAUAAAAUUACACUUAUCAUGUAAAAUUCAUAAAGUAGGAACUAAGUGUCAAAGAAGCAGAUUGUUUACUCUCUCCAUCAGUCCUUCACAUCAUCAUUGAUGUUUGGACUGGUUAGUGAUCUAUUACAUCAGGGAACCAUACGUCUUGAUUCUUGAAUUUUCUCCUUUACAAAAUGGUUUAAAAAUUAAAAAAAUGUUUACUGAGCAACACUUCUUGCCUUAGUACUUUAUCCUUCCUAAUUUGACAUUAAUCCAAUUUGAAAUAUUGUAGUUAACGAAUAAAUUUAUAAAUUGACAGAUCAUUUAUCGAUAUAUGAUUUAAUAAAUUUCAUCACAUUAAGAGAAAAAAUAAUAAAAAUUAAAAGUGUAUACUCAAAUAUAUAUGGUUAAUCUAAAAGGAGUACUGCUAGUAUUCUUCUGGGACUCCAAAGAACAAUAGGAAUUCAAUAAUGAAAGGUGAAAACUUGCAGGCUUGCAGCUGUGUCGAAACGUUGAUGAGGUGGUUAUGCUCCAGCCGUCCAGUCCAAGAUAGCCUUUACAAUAUUUAAGGUCCUUGUCAGCUUUUUGAUGAUUAAGCACCAAAUUAAGAUGAAACAUGUUUAAAUUGAUAAUCUCCUAACAAAUUAUAUAUUAUGAGAUUAAUUAGAUGGAGAACUUGGCUGUGAUCACAUUUAACAUAUUUUUUAAGUAAUUUGACAACUUGCAGGCUCGCAGCUGUGUCGAAACUUUGAUGAGGUGGUUAUGCUCCAGCCGUUCAGUCCAAGCUAGCCUUUACACUAUAUAAGGUCCUUGUCGGCUUUUUGAUGAUUAAGCACUAAAUUAAGAUGAAACAUGUUUAUAUUGAUAAUCUCCUAACAGAUUAUAUAUUAUGACAUUAAUUAGAUGGAGAACUUGGUUGUGAACACAUUUAACAUAUUUUUUAAGUAAUUUAUCUUUGAUUAUGACUGGUAUAUAGUAGUCAAUUACGUCCAAAUUGAAUUAUUGGGUACGUCUAAUUAAAAAUUAAACAAAAUUGACUUAAUUAAUUACACAAAUAUUAGAUAAAUACAAGAAAAAUGUCAGCUUUUACAUGAUCAUAGUCCAAGCUUUUGCUGUUAUUUUCCUGGCUACGGAUUUGCUGCAGUUAGCUCUAUAUGUAUUUGAAAUGAUGCUUGUCUAUUGCAAUUCAAAUAAUGUUUGCUAUGAUUUGUAGACACUGUUUUUAUUACUGUAUAUGUUCUUUUUAUUUUAUUUUAUAUUUUUAUUUUUACAUCUUUUAUUUUAGUAAUCAUUUAAAUUGGGUCUAGGCCAGGUCUUAUGAAACUGUCUAGGGCCUGGUAAUGGGAAACUUACUAUUGGGUCUAAUAUUAAAUAACCAUUGGGUCUGGUAAUUGUAGACACUCGUUUUUACUGUAUUAUCUUUCAAUUUUAUAAAUAAAUAAAAAAAUUAAAGAAAAAAAUAAAUUUCAAAUGCAGCAAACAGGGAGGAAGGAUUUUGAAAAUUCUUUAGCUAAAUAAGGAUGUUUUAGAGUAGGAAAAUAAAAGUAAAAAAAAUAUAUAUAAAGCUGUGAAUGAAAAAAUAGAUAAAUAUUUAGCUAUAAAAUAAUAAGUUAGUUGGGUAAAAUAUAUGCAUAAAACAAGAAAAUGAAUGUCAAAUCUAAAAAAUAAUAAUUGUAGAUCUAGGUUGAAAUAUAAGUAUAUGAGAGAAAUAAAUAAAUACUUAGCAAUAAAAAUAUAGAACUAAGUAAGUAAAAUAAUAUCUAGUUAGGAAAAAUUAAUUUAACUAAAGGAAAAUAUAUAAAUAUGUAAUAUAUAUAUAUAUAUAGUCAUAAGAAAAAUAGCUUAGGUAAGAAGUAAAAAUAAUAAUAAAAUAUGCAGUCAUAAGAAAGUGAGUUAAGUAAAUGGAAAAAAAGUACAUUUGGUCAUGAAAAGUAGGUUAGGUAAAUUACUAAAAAUAGCAUAAAUAUAUAACAAAAAAAAUAAAAUGAUAUAAAUAUAAAUAUUUAUUCACAAAAGGGGGUUAAUUAAUAUAUAAAUAUAGACAGUAAUAAAGUGGUUGCUUUGGAUUAAUUUCGAUGAUGGAAUUUCAUUCAAAAAGGCAAAGUGUUGCCAUUUUCGGGAUGCCUCCUAAGAACGGAAUAUAAUUAGGUUUUUCUCCAAAGUGUCGAGAUAAAUCCUAAUUUCGUAUUCUAAUAUUCUGUUAAUUCAUGCAAUUACCUUAAAUUCAUACAUAAAUAAAUUUAUAUAAUAUUCCAUCUGAAAUUAAAUUUGAUAUGGUUACUAGUUAAUUUAAGAAAAAUAGAUUGCAAAUAAAAGAUUAAUUGUUUGUCCAAUAAAAAAUAGUUCAAUAAAAUAAAAUAAUAUUAACCUCUAAUAUUAAUUAAAAAAAUUAUUAUCAAUUUAAAUAGAAUGUUUCUUAAAAAAUAUAUAUAGUCAAAAUAAAUGAGGCAAAUACAUAUAUUUAAAUAAAAUGUUCUUUAAAAGAUAUAUAAUGUAAACAAAUAAAUAAAUGGUUUAUUUAAUUAUAUUAAAACAUUUAAUAUAUAUAAAUUGUAAUCAACAAAAUUAUGUUCAUGAACAUGCUCAUGUAACAUCAUUUAUAAUUUAUUUUGGCAUAGCAUACGACAUGUUUAGUUUAUUAAAGGGACAAGAAUCCCAAUGAUGAAAUUUUCUUGAAAGACUUGUAGAGACGAGUUCUUCCAGAAAUAUCCAUAGGUAAGAAAAACUUUGAGACUUUACCAAAGUAUUGGAAUAGUCUAUGAAUGAUUUUUCAAUACAAAGUUUUUGCUUUUCAUUAUUUUAAAUUGGUAAAUCAUGACAUCAUUUCAUAAUUGCAUCAUGUGCACUUGUAACAUCGAAUAAAAUGUUUUAAUUUCUUAAUAAAAUAGAGAAUUAAGUAAAUAAAUAAUAAAUAGGAAAACAUAAGAAUAAAAUCAAUGGUUUAGAAUAACAUAUAAUUAAGUGAUACCGUUCCUGAAACGGGCGUCAUAGGGGUGCCAAUCCUUCUUUAUACAAAAUCGUACUCCCGAACCCAACUCUAAUAAAUCGUAGAUCAGUUUAUUGUUCUUUCGAUGGAUUUAAAGCCAAUUUAGGACUUCAUCGAUUAUAACAAAGUUAAUAGGUGACCAAUCACAUCUAAAUAAAAAAGAUUAGUAACGACUCUUAAAUUUCCACGUCUAGCAAUCGAACUCCAGUACCGCACAUUACAACAUGAUUAAACAUGAAGGCUCAUUUUUUUCUUUCUUUAGCUUCCUUGCUGCAUGUAACCUUUUCUGUUUCGAGUUUCAAGGUUUUUUCUAAUAUGUCACUUUGAUUUUUGGCAACUUUAUUUAUCAAUAAAUACUAUUUCAACAAAAAAGUUAUAGAGACAAAUUUAAUUGAUUUAAUGAGUUUCAAGUCAAUAAGUGACGUCUCCUUAUAUUAAUUUAAGAAUUCGGAAACUUAAAAACCAUUGAAUUGAUCACUCAACUAGAAUAUCAUGGAUUACUCAAAAGAAAGUUAAAUUACAUUACAUUAAUUAAUGAUCAUUAGGUUAUCGUUUUUGAAACAAAAACAACUUAAAAAUUAACAUUAACAAACAUGGAUUUAUUAUAAAACAUACACAACAUAAAAUGUUGUUGACACUCCAAACUAGAGCAAGCUAGCAGCAAUUAAGUUACUAGGAUAACCUUACAUGCACUAAACAUUAAUUUCUUUGGCCACAAGGCAAAGAGCAUUUUUUUUGUGUGCAGUGAUACCGGGUAUCACAUCAAAGUCUAAGUCUUCCUUGUUCAUAUCUGUUGGCAUUUCCCAGUCAAAUUUGUAAAGAAGAUUAGCAAGGGCAAGCUCCAUAAUCGCAACUCCCAUAUGUAUUCCGAGACAACCCCUUCUACCGGCACUAAAAGGUAUGAGCUCGAAGUCUAGUCCUUUAUAGUCAAUAGAGCUGCCAAUGAAUCUCUCCGGAUAGAAUUCUUUUGGGUUUUCCCAAGCUUCAGGGUCUCUUCCCACCGCCCAUGCAUUCACAUAAACUAAGGUUUUGGCAAGUAUGUCAUACCCACCUAUGCUGCAUUUUCGCAUUGUUUCUCGCGGCACUAAUAAUGGAGCUAUUGGUUGAAAAUCUAAAUGUUUCUUUUAUCACAGCUUUAAGAUAAGUUAGGCCCUGAGCAUCAUCUUCAGUUACAAAAUCCUUUUUUUCCUAUCAAACUUCUAACUUCCUCUUGAACUUUCUUCAUGCACCUAGGAUUUUUCAUUAGGAAGGUCAUGACCCAAAUCACGGUGGCAACGCUAGUAUCCAUUCCAGCAAUAAACACAUUUUGCAUAGAAGAAAUAAAAAAAAACAUAAGGCAUAUAUAUUUUCCUAUGGCGUGAAGCUAUAAAAUAAAUUAAUGAUAAUACUUAAUAUUAUAAUUAAGUGAAAAUGACCAUUAGCACAACUUUUAUGUGAUCCAUAGUGAGAUUAAUUGCAAAGUCACGAUCUUUCCAGAUCUGUAGUAAGACAUUGACUAUAUCCUCUUGCUCCGAUUUUGAUCUAUUCAGAUCAAGAUGUUCACUAAUUAGUUCUUGAUAGAAGAUAUCAAAUUCUUUGUAAUUUUUUUCAAGACUACUGAGUAAUCCAGAGAAUCUAUCUACCCAACCCAUGGAAGGAAAAUAAUCAGAGAUAAAGAAGCUCGCGAGCAAAGAUUGGCUUUCAUUAAGCAACCUAUGAAACCUGCUUCUUUCAGUUCCUACUUCUUCGUACCUUUUGUCGAAUCCUAUUCUACAAAUUAUGGUACUGGUAAGAUACAUCAUUGCCUCACUCAAAUUGACAACCUUAGAAUCAACAGAUAAUUUGGAUAUUUUUGUAAUCAAGCCAUUAACUUCAUCUUCUCGGAUGAGACGAAAUAGUUGCACUCUAUUAGAAUUAAAGAGAUGAACGACACAUAUUUUCCUAAUCUCUCGCCAAUAAGCAUUAUACUGUGAAAAAGCCAAAUCUAAACCAUUAUAAGAAAAUUUCUGCGCUCCACAUAAAGUUAGCCUACUGCAGACGUCGAGAUCAUGGGUUUUCAUAACCUCUUCAACCAUUUUUGCUGAAGAAACUAUCAGGGUUAACCUAAAUCCAAGUCACAAGGACAUGAGAGAGCCAUACUUGCGAGAGAGUUUGCAAAACAAAAUAUGAGGGGCUGUGUUAUCAAGCAUCUGCAUAUGCAAGUGACCGAUCAAGGGAAGACCUGGCGGGCCUGGGGGAAGAAGAAUAUUGCCAUUAUUUCUUUGUUUUAAGAGAAUGAAUAGGAAGAGGGUGGGGAGGGCUAGAACGAAGAACAGCAGCACUGCCAUUAUGAUCUAGUGAAGUAACUUGUGAAAAUUAAGGGCAAGAGUCCCCUAAUAAAGAACUAAUUAGCCAACUCUUUUGACCAAAAUUUUUUUAAUAAGAAUUAAUGAUCAGAUUCAUAUGGUUGAUAUUAAUAAUCAGAUUCAUAUGGCUGAUAUUAAUGAUCAUAUUCAUAUGGCUGAUAUUAUCCCGCCAACCAGGGGGAGGGUUGUUCAUUAAUGGGCCCGAGCCCCACAAAUUAAGUCCAAUGCUGUCACAAAACGCUUCACCGAGAAGGAUUCCUUACGUCUCCUCGCCAUGAAAAUUGGAAGCUUUGCUAGGUAGCUAGUAGCCUAUCAGUGAUGCAUUACUUAUUUACAUUGAAAAAAAAAACGGUUCAAAAAAUAAUUUUAUCUAAAAUUUUUUCUUCAUAUGAGAAAAAAAAAAGAGAUUUGUAAAAACAACUUGGUUUUCUCUUGACCAUUUUGUUCUUGAAAGUAUUUAGUUUUGCAUUGGUACAAAUUUCUCUUAAUUUGUGAAUUUAAGCUGAUGUGAGUGUCAUAUAUCUUUGCUCUUUCUACUCUGAUUCAAGUGCAUCAUAGGUUUCUUACACCUUACGAUAAUAAGAAAUGUUAAUGUUUAAACGGACAACAUUUGUUAUUGUAUUCGAGUAAACAUAGAAAAUUAUUUACUUUUGAUAUUUAAUUUAUGAUAUAAUGGUCAAAUAAGUCUCUAAAUUAUUUAAAAAAAUUUAAAUAAGUUUUUAUUUUUCAUUGUGUUCAAUACUUUUAUUUCAAGUCAAAUAAAUCUAUAUAACUAAUGAAUGAUUAAUUGUCAUUAGUCAAAAUCUCACCUGUCAUUUUAUAUCUACAUGACGUUGAUGUAGAGGAUAAAAAAUACCACAUGAUCAUGUUAUUAUAGUAAAUUAACACGUCACGUCAUUAUCAAUUAGUAUAUAUCAUCAUAUCACAUCAUUAUCAAUUAUGAUAUAUUAACAUGCUAUAUUAGUGUUAUGUGAUAUAAAAUGAUAAAUAGUAUUUUAAUUAAGUUAAUUAUUAGUCAUAAAGUCUUAUUUAAUUUUAAAUAAAAAUACAAUGACUUAUUUAAAAUUUUCAAAAUAAUUUAAAUAUUUUUUUGAAUAUUAUUCCUUAAUUUAUUUUAAUUUAAGUGUUUUGUUACUUUGAUUUUUGGCAACUUUAUUUAUCAGUAAAUACUAUUUCAACAAAAAAGUUAUAGAGACAAAUUUAAUUGAUUUAAAUGAGUUUCAAGUCAAUAAGUGACGUCUCCUUGUAUUAAUUUAAGAAUUCGGAAACUUAAAAAACAUUGAAUUGAUCACCCAACUAGAAUAUCAUAGAUUACUCAAAAGAAAGUUAAAUUACAUUACAUUAAUUAAUGAUCAUUAGGUUAUCAUUUUUGAAACAAAAACAACUUAAAAAUUAACAUUAACAAACAUGGAUUUAUUAUAAAACAUACACAACAUAAAAUGUUGUUGACACUCAACACUAGAGCAAGCUAGCAGCAAUUAAGUUACUAGGAUAACCUUACAUGCAUUAAACAUUAAUUUCUUUGGCCACAAGGCAAAGAGCAUUUUUUUUGUGUGUAGUGAUACCGGGUAUCACAUCAAAGUCUAAGUCUUCCUUGUUCAUCCCUGUUGGCAUUUCCCAAUCAAAUUUGUAAAGAAGAUUAGCAAGGGCAAGCUCCACAGUCACAACUCCCAUAUGUAUUCCGGGACAACCCCUUCUACCGGCACCAAAAGGUAUGAGCUUGAAGUCUAGUCCUUUAUAGUCAAUAGAGCUGCCAAUGAAUCUCUCCGGAUAGAAUUCUUCUGGAUUUUCCCAAGCUUCAGGGUCUCUUCCAAUUGCCCACGCAUUCACAUAAACUAAGGUUUUGGCAGGUAUUUCAUAUCCGCUUAUGUUGCUCUUUCGCAUUGUUUCUCGUGGCACCAACAAUGGAACUAUUGCUUGCAAUCUGAAUGUUUCUUUUAUCACAGCUUUAAGAUAAGUUAAGGCUUGAGUAUCAUCUUCAUUUACAAAAUCUUUUUUCCCCAUCAAACUUCUCACUUCCUCUUGAGCUUUCUUCAAACACCUAGGAUUUUUCAUUAGGAAGGUCAUGACCCAAAUCACACUGGCAGCGCUAGUGUCCGUUCCAGCAACAAACACAUUCUACAUAAGAGAAAGAAAAAAAGACAUGAGGUAAUAUAUAUAUAUUCCAAGAAUGUUGAAGCUAUAAAAUUAAUUAAUGAUAAUACUUAAUACUAUAAUAAAGUAAAUUUUUGAGUGAGGAUUGACCAUUAGCACAGCUUUUAUGUGAUCUAUAGUAAGAUCAAUCGCAAAUUCACGAUCCUUCCAAAUUUGUAGUAAGACAUCGAUUAUGUCUUCUUGCUCCAAUUUUGACCUAUUUGGAUCAAGAUGUUCGUCGAUGAGUUUUUGAUAGAAGGUAUCAAAUUCUUUAAAAUUUUUUUCAACACGCUUGAGCAAUCCGGAGAUUCUAUCAACCCAAUUCAUGAAAGGAAAAUAAUCAGAAAUAAAGAAUUCCACGAACAGGGCUUGGGCUUCAUUAAGCAUCUCAUGGAAUCUGCUUCUUUCAGUUCCUUCGUCUUCAUACCUCUUGCCGAAUCCUACUCUGCAAAUUAUUGUACUGGUAAGACACAUCAUUGCCUCACUCAAAUUGACAGGCUUAGAAUCAACAGAUAAUUUGGAUAUUUUUGCAAUUAGGCGAGAAACUUCAUCUUCUCGAAUGGGACGAUAGAGUUGCACCCUGUUGGAGUUAAAGAGAUGAACAACACAUAUUUUUCUGAUCUCCCUCCAAUAAGCAGUAUACGGUGAAAAAGCCAAAUCUAAACCUUUGUAAGAUAAUUUAUAUGACCCAUGUAAAGUAGGCCUACUGCAAAAGUCAAGGUCAUGUGUUUUCAUAACCUCUUUAGCCAUUUUCGCUGAAGAAACUACCAGCGUUAACCAAAAUCCGAGUCGCAAGGACAUGAGAGAGCCAUACUUUUGAGAGAGUUUCCAAAGAAAAAUAUGAGGGGCUGAGUUAUCUAGCAUCUGCAUGUGUAAGUGACCGAUCAAGGGAAGGCCUGGAGGGCCAGGGGGAAGAAGAAUACUGCCGUUUCUUCUAUGUUUUAGCAGAAUGCAUAGGAAGAGACUGGGGAGGGCUAGAACAAAGAACAACAAAACUACCAUUUUGAUAUAAUCGAUUGAUGAAGCGACUUGUGACAAUUGAGAGCAAGAGUCCCCUUAUAUACACUAAUUAGCAGACACUUCUAACUAAAAAAUUUAAUGCAAGCUGACACUUGCAUUGUUGAAUAUUGCUCCUCUUUUUUGUACCAAGAUAAAUAUAGGAAGGAAUAAAUAUUUGAAAUUGCUUCUUUAUGUCAGGAACAAUAGGCAUUUGAAGGGGAAAUUAAUAAGGAAACGUAAUGUAAUGAAGGUCCGUCAUUCUACAUUAUAGUCAGCUUGGUAACACUACUGUUUUUUUCCCUGAUCGUGAUAUAUAGUAAAAAAAAAUUUAUGAAUUAUUGUUGUUACUGCUCCAUUUGUUCUAUUUUUUAUUGAAAUGUCACGGUGAGCUGCUGUCGUUUCCAGAAAAGGCCAAACGCAAGUUAAUUUUCUCGAUUUUGUUUAGGAUUUUGAGUUCUUAGGAAGAUUUGUUUUUGAAAAGUGAUUUAUUAACCUCUUCAAUCAAAGUGCCGGCCGUUCCAAGUCUCUUUCAAUUAAAAAACGAUUUUCAAUAACAUCAAUACUUGAUUUGGAUAGUAAGUAAUAUUGUACAAUUACCAAAAGAUUUACCGCACCAUCCUACAUGCGGACGGGGUCUUAAACCCUUCAAACCUAUCAAAAGAUUUCUCUUCAGGAAUAUGCUGUUGCUUUGUUCACGGAUUAUUUGCUGUUUGUUUUGUUUUGGAAUGAACGUUGAGAUUGGUGGUUCCAGGUUGUAUGGUCAACAAAGAAAAUGUACAAAUUUCCUCACGCUUGCCAAUAAUUGGCUUAUGCUUGAUUCUCGCGUCUCUGGUAAAUAUAAUGUUAUACAGAAAUUCAUAAAGCUGGAACCAAGUGUCAAAGAAGCAGAAUGUUUAGCUUCUCCUUAACGUCACCCUCUCCAUCAGAAUCCUUCAGUCCUUCACGGCAUCAUUUGAUCUUUAGACUGGUUAGUGGUCCAUUGCAGUAGGAACCAUACGUCUUCAUUGUUGAAUUUUCGCGAUAUGGGUUCAAUAAUGAAAGGUGAAAUCUCGCAGGCCAAUCCAAGAUUUUGAUUCCUCUAUGCCUAUCCAUCUGCAUUAUUGAGAAACGAUAAAGGCCUAAAUCCAAUAAUUACCGGUUCACAUGUAGUAUGAGUUAAUUAGAUGGAGAAUUUUGAUUCGAACAUAAAUUAAAUAUUUUGAAGUAAUUUGUCUUUGAUUAAGACUAUAAUAUAUAGAGUACUCUAUUGGGCCCAAAAUGAAUCAUUAGUUACUUUCAAUAAAAAAUUAAACAGAAUCGACCUAAUUACACAAAUAUUAAAGAAGUACAAAGAAAAUGUCGCAUCUAGUAUCGUAAUUAGUGAAUUCUAUGAUUCACGUGGUUCAAGCUCUUGCUGUACGACGUACUAGUUGGAAACUAGAAAAGAAGAAGACAAGUGUUGAUGCUUUCCUGCCUAUGGAUUUGCUGCAGUGAUGUUUAAUUAUAUAUUAACAUCUAUUGUACAUGAAUCCAGCUAAUUGAAAAUGAUGUUUGUCUAUUGCUAUUCACAUGAUGUUAUAUCUAAGAUGAAUCACGACGACAAGUUUUUUCUUUCUUUAGCUUUAUUGCUAGAUGUCAUCUUUUCUGUGUUGAUUUUCAUGGUUUUUCUUUAGCAUACCAGGUAUCACAUCAAAGUCUUCUUUAUUCAUCCCGGCCGGCAUUUCCCAAUCAAAUUUGUAAAGAAGAUUGGCAAGGGCAAGCUCCAAAGUUGAUACUCCCAUAUGCAAGUGACCGAUCAAGGGAAGACCUGGCGGGCCUGGGGGAAGAAGAAUAUUGCCAUUAUUUCUUUGUUUUAAGAGAAUGAAUAGGAAGAGGGUGGGGAGGGCUAGAACGAAGAACAGCAACACUACCAUUGUGAUCUAGUGAAACAACUUGUGAAAAUUGAGGGCAAGAGUCCCCUAAUAAAGAACUAAUUAGCCAACUCUUUUGACCAAAAUUUUUUUAAUAAAAAUUAAUGAUCAGAUUCAUAUGGCUGAUAUUAAUGAUCAGAUUCAUAUGGUUGAUAUUAAUGAUCAGAUCCAUAUGGUUGAUAUUAUCUCGCCAAUCAGGGGGAGGGUUGUUCAUUAAUGGGCUCGAGCCCCACAAAUUAAGUCCAAUGCUGUCACAAAACGCUUCACCGAGAAGGAUUCCUUACGUCUCCUCGCCAUGGAAAUUGGAAGCUUUGCUAGGUAGCUAGCAGCCUAUCAGUGAUGCAUUUCUUAUUUACAUUGAAAAAAAAAACGGUUCAAAAAAUAAUUUUAUCUAAAAUUUUUUCUUCAUAUGAGAAAAAAAAAAGAGAUUUGUCAAAAAAACUUGGUUUUCUCUUGACCAUUUUGUUCUUGAAAGUAUUUAGUUUCUCAUUGGUACAAAUUUCUCUUAAUUUGUGAAUUUAAGCUGAUGUGAGUGUCAUAUAUCUUUGCUCUUUCUACUCUGAUUCAAGUGCAUCAUAGGUUUCAUACACCUUACGAUAAUAAGAAAUGUUAACGUUUAAACGGACAACAUUUGUUAUUGUAUUCGAGUAAACAUAGAAAAUUAUUUACUUUUGAUAUUUAAUUUAUGAUAUAAUGGUCAAAUAAGUCUCUAAAUUAUUUAAAAAAAUUUAAAUAAGUUUUUAUUUUUUAUUGUGUUCAAUACUUUUAUUUCAAGUCAAAUAAAUCCAUAUAACUAAUGAAUGAUUAAUUAUCAUUAGUCAAAAUGUCGUCUGUCAUUUUAUAUCCACAUGACGUUGAUGUGGAGGAUGAAAAAUACCACAUGAUCAUGUUAUCAUGGUAAAUUAACACGUCACGUCAUUAUCAAUUAUGAUAUAUCAUCAUAUCAUAUUAUUAUCAAUUAUGAUAUAUUAGCAUGCUAUAUUAGUGUCAAGUGAUAUAAAAUGAUAAAUAGUAUUUUAAUUAAGUUAAUUAUUAGUCAUAAAGUCUUAUUUAAUUUAAAAUAAAAAUACAAUGACUUAUUUAAAAUUUUCAAAAUAAUUUAAAUAUUUUUUUUGAAUAUUAUUCCUUAAUUUAUUUUAAUUUAAGCGUUUUGUUACUUUGAUUUUUGGCAACUUUAUUUAUCAGUAAAUACUAUUUCAACAAAAAAGUUAUAGAGACAAAUUUAAUUGAUUUAAAUGAGUUUCAAGUCAAUAAGUGAUGUCUCCUUGUAUUAAUUUAAGAAUUCGGAAACUUAAAAAACAUUGAAUUGAUCACUCAACUAGAAUAUCAUGGAUUACUCAAAAGAAAGUUAAAUUACAUUACAUUAAUUAAUGAUCAUUAGGUUAUCGUUUUUGAAACAAAAACAACUUAAAAAUUAACAUUAACAAACAUGGAUUUAUUAUAAAACAUACACAACAUAAAAUGUUGUUGACACUCCAAACUAGAGCAAGCUAGCAGCAAUUAAGUUACUAGGAUAACCUUACAUGCAUUAAACAUUAAUUUCUUUGGCCACAAGGCAAAGAGCAUUUUUUGUGUGUGUAGUGAUACCGGGUAUCACAUCAAAGUCUAAGUCUUCCUUGUUCAUCCCUGUUGGCAUUUCCCAAUCAAAUUUGUAAAGAAGAUUAGCAAGGGCAAGCUCCACAGUCACAACUCCCAUAUGUAUUCCGGGACAACCCCUUCUACCGGCACCAAAAGGUAUGAGCUCGAAGUCUAGUCCUUUAUAGUCAAUAGAGCUGCCAAUGAAUCUCUCCGGAUAGAAUUCUUCUGGGUUUUCCCAAGCUUCAGGGUCUCUUCCAAUUGCCCACGCAUUCACAUAAACUAAGGUUUUGGCAGGUAUUUCAUAUCCGCUUAUGUUGCUCUUUCGCAUUGUUUCUCGUGGCACCAACAAUGGAACUAUUGCUUGCAAUCUGAAUGUUUCUUUUAUCACAGCUUUAAGAUAAGUUAAGGCUUGAGUAUCAUCUUCAUUUACAAAAUCUUUUUUCC